AUUGACGGUAAAGAUGCCGUCUGUCCGCAGCAGGACGAAAAGACCCCGUGGAGCUUUACUAUAGUUUGGCAUUGAGCCAGGGGUAUACAUGUGUAGGAUAGCUGGGAGGCAUAGAAACUCAGGCGCUAGCUUGGGUGGAGCCAUCGGUGAAAUACCAGCCUUGUAUACUUCUUGUUCUUAAGUGGCCCUUAAUUUGCGGAGCAAAUUAGGGCAAUGCUCAAUGGACAAAUGUUUCAAUGAUCAAUGAAUAUUCAAUAAACAAUGCAGUAAUGGUUUCAAUCAUUUCGGUAUUGGUACAUUCAUUGACACUUGAGCAUUGAACAUUGAUUCAUUGACCCUGAAUUUGAUCUUCAAAUUCAGGGUCGCUGACAGUGUCUGACGGGUAGUUUAACUGGGGCGGUUGCCUCCUAAAGAGUAUCGGAGGCGUUCAAAGGUUGGCUAGAUACGGAUGGAAAUCGUAUCGGUAGUGCAUACGCAGAAGCCAGCUUGACUGUGAGGCAUACAAGCCGAACAGGGACGAAAGUCGGAGUAAGUGACCCGCUGAUAAGUGCGUCUCACAGGGGUGAGACGCAGUAGUUAGUAAUAUGUAAAAAAAGCAAAAAGGGAAAUUCUAAUACCCUUACUUACAUUUUGCUUAUUGCUUUUUGCUGCGCCUCUCGCUCCCGUGAGGCGCAUUGAAUGUGGUAUCUUCAGCGCAAACGGAUAAAAGUUACCCCGGGGAUAACAGGCUUAUAGCGCCCAAUAGUUCACAUAGACGGCGCUGUUUGGCACCUCGAUGUCGGCUCAUCUCAUCCUGGGGCUGGAGCAGGUCCCAAGGGUCCGGCUGUUCGCCGGUUAAAGAGGUACGUGAGCUGGGUUCAGAACGUAAAUUACAUUGCGUUCUACUACUGUAAAGUAGUAAAAUACGAGUGUACAUCGCACUAAUCGUAUUAAAUUCGACUAAUAUCGGUGAAACCCUAUCCAAAAACGAACGUUUUGGAGGGUAAUACCGAGGGAAGACAGAACGUCCAUGUCUAACGAAGAAAAGGCCUACAUAGCCGGAUUCUUGGAUGGCGAUGGCUCGAUCAUCGCCCAACUUGUAACCCGUAAGGACUACAAGUUGGGUUAUCAAAUCAGAGUCAGCCUCGUUUUCUAUCAGAAAACAAUCCACCAAGACCAUCUUCUUUGGCUAAAGAAGCGGCUAGGCUUUGGUUACAUUCGGGCGCGCCGAGAUGGCAUGACCGAAUACACCAUAGUUGGUCUGGGGGAAGUGAAAUAUGUAUUAUCACUUCUAUAUCCCUAUCUUCGACUCAAGAAAGAAUUGGCGAGGAAUGUGCUUCGAAUAAUCGAAAAACAUCCCUCACAACGCGAAAUGACGAAAGCGCAGCUGGUUGGUUUAGCCCGGUUGGUCGAUAAGACCGCUCGGUUUAACUAUUCCAAGAAGCGCACAGUUACUAGCGCCAAAGUCAUAACUUUCUUUGAGAGACAUAAAGUUCUUGUCCCCGUAGAGACUGAUUCUACCAAGAAGCCCUUAGUAGAUGAGAUAGGAUCCGCAACCAGCGGCCUAUAAUACGUCGACCCCGUCUCUACAUACAUGUGGAAGGGAGAAGGUAUAGUCCGUGCCAUCAGUAAUGGUGGAAUUACACGCGUGAGACAGUUCGGUUUAUAUCCGCUGUGGACGUCAGGAAAUUUGCGAGGAUUUGUCCCUAGUACGAGAGGACCGGGACGAACGCACCGCUGGUGUAUGGGUUGUUCUACCAAGAGCAUUGCCCAGUAGCUAUAGUGCGGAAUAGAUAAGCGCUGAAAGCAUAUUAAGCGCGAAACUAACCUCUAGAUUAGAUUUCCCUUGAGUCUGCCACCCAGACUCGGUUCGAUAGCAAAAGUUUUUUAGAUUGCAGAGCGAAAAAGCUCAAAAGUGAGGAGGCGUAUCUAACUGGUACGUCGACGAGCUUUUGAGCUUUUGCAGCCUGGAAGAUAAGGCUUUUGGCUGAAGCGAGUUUGAGUGGCAGACUCUAAAGAGCCCCCUGAAAGACUAUCAGGUUGAUAGGCGCAACGUGGAAGACGAGUAAUCGUUGGAGCGGAAGCGUACUAAUCGGGCCA
rnacentral:ncRNA from 1 species